rnacentral:rRNA from 1 species
GAUCCUGGCUCAGGAUGAACGCUAGCUACAGGCUUAACACAUGCAAGUCGGAGGGGCAGCAUGGUCUUAGCUUGCUAAGGCUGAUGGCGACCGGCGCACGGGUGAGUAACACGUAUCCAACCUGCCGUCUACUCUUGGCCAGCCUUCUGAAAGGAAGAUUAAUCCAGGAUGGCAUCAUGAGUUCACAUGUCCGCAUGAUUAAAGGGUAUUUUCCGGUAGACGAUGGGGG